UUUUGUUUUUUUUUCCUUCCUUCUGCUGAGCUGAAAAAGAUCGGGAUCACUCCCUCCCUCUGUCUCUCUCUUUCAAUUCUCCUUUGCUUGGCGAGCCUCGCCAAUCGCCAUGGACGCUAGCAAGCUUCUGUCCGGUUCAACGGUAGUGUUUCGCAGUCACUCCCUCAAGUUUGUUAAGUUGCUAGCUCCAGCUCCGGUUUCUUGACACCUCCUUCUUUGAAGACGUCGUCCUCGUUCACAGCGACUUCGUCUUUGACCCUGCCCGGGAGAAAACCUCCAGUGCCUGUCGUGCGGCGGAGGUUAGCGCUGAAAUGCGGCGCUGUUGCUGGAGGUAUAACCGAAAUCGAUGAGAGCCAGUUCGCUGAUACGGUGUUGAAAAGCAACCGGCCUGUGCUGGUGGAGUUCGUGGCCGACUAGUGUGGUCCUUGCCGCUUAAUCUCUCCCGCUAUUGAGUGGGUGGCUCAGGAAAUCGAGGAUUCUGAAGGUUCAAUCCAGUGAGCUAUCUUUCUGGAAGUUGUCGAUAAGCUUCCGAUUGCGCGGAGGAACCACUUUUUGAUAUCGGGGAUUAGCUUGGAGGACUAGGUAGGAACCUUAGUUAUUUAAUAGAUAUCCUUUCUGUAUAGAAUGGACUUUAGAAUGUUACGACCUGAAGAUUUUGUUUAGUUGUAUCAAUGAUGUGAGAGCGAAAAAGAAAUCUCCGGAAAAGUGUAUAUACCUAUUAGAGUUGAUGGAUUGGUUAUAUACUUUGGAAAUUUAUGAGAAGUAAGUUUUUAUGUGAUAAUGGAUUCGAUGAAAUUUAGGAAAA